rnacentral:tRNA from 2 species
GGCCUAAUAGUGUAAUCGUCGCACGCGUCCUUCGGGUGGACGUAGUCUGGGUUCAAUUCCCAGUUGGGCCC